rnacentral:rRNA from 1 species
UGGGGAAUAUUGGACAAUGGGCGAAAGCCUGAUCCAGCCAUGCCGCGUGUGUGAAGAAGGUCUUCGGAUUGUAAAGCACUUUAAGUUGGGAGGAAGGGCAGUAAGCGAAUACCUUGCUGUUUUGACGUUACCGACAGAAUAAGCACCGGCUAACUCUGUGCCAGCAGCCGCGGUAAUACAGAGGGUGCAAGCGUUAAUCGGAAUUACUGGGCGUAAAGCGCGCGUAGGUGGUUCGUUAAGUUGAAUGUGAAAGCCCCGGGCUCAACCUGGGAACUGCAUCCACAACUGGCGAGCUAGAGUAGGGCAGAGGGUGGUGGAAUUUCCUGUGUAGCGGUGAAAUGCGUAGAUAUAGGAAGGAACACCAGUGGCGAAGGCGACCACCUGCGCUCAUACUGACACUGAGGUGCGAUCGCGUGGGGAGCAAACAGG